rnacentral:rRNA from 1 species
UACGAAGGGGGCUAGCGUUGUUCGGAAUCACUGGGCUUAAAGCGUGUGUAGGCGGAUGCCUAAGUACCUUGUGAAAUCCCACGGCUCAACCGUGGAACUGCUUGGUAUACUGCGGGUCUUGAGCCAUCUAGGGGCAACCGGAACAAACGGUGGAGCGGUGAAAUGCGUAGAUAUCGUUUGGAACGCCAAUGGUGAAAACAGGUUGCUGGGGAUGUGCUGACGCUGAGACACGAAAGCCAGGGGAGCAAACGGG